AAUACUUAGGGUGCUCACUAAGGAUUAGGGUCAUCAUCCCUACAUAUCUUUAUAAUGAAAUAAGGAAUUCAUAACUUUGUAGUUCAUGGAACUAAUGGUGGGAGAUGAAAUAAUUUGUGAUUGAGGUAUGGUUUGAACCAAAGAAUAAUGUUGUUUGAAUCCAUAAGGUAGGUAUAUCUUAACCGAAGAGAAAAUGUGGCAUAUGGAAAAAAAUAAAGGGUUUUUG
rnacentral:lncRNA from 1 species